UGGAGAAACAAAUUGACAAGCACUGCAUGGUGCGGACUCAGAAGUGAUCAUUUGCGACCAAAGCCACUCGUCCCAAUUUCUCUACAGUGGAAUAUCUCUUCUUGUGCUACUUAAGUUCCUACUUAAUAAUCACAGGUUGUGGAGUCAUGUCACGUCUGAGGUACACAACAAGAUCCUGGAAUUUGAGGCUGAAUUCCAAAGAACAGUGUGGCUGUAAGACCCUUAUUAAGACCUCUUGACGUGCUAAGGUAAAGUCAAGCUAAUGUUCUGAUCUAGAAAAAAGCUGUUUCUCAAGGACAUGACUGAAUGAGACUUCAGAGAUCUUGCGAUGAAAUUUUAGUUUUUAGUUUUUAGUUUUGCUGGUUUCCCUGACAGGUAGAAUUUAAGAGAGAGAGAUUAAAAUUACUAAAAAGUGAUAUUUGUAUGGAAGAGAUGGUCAAAGUCAUAGAUGGAAUACUUAGUUUUAGGAAGGAGAAAGCCUCUUAUCUUCUGACCUAGCAUGGAUGAGUUAAGGAAGGUUGGAAAUAGUAAACAAUGGAGGUAGAGAAGAACAAAAUAAAGUAAGCCUCUCUCUCA
rnacentral:lncRNA from 1 species